rnacentral:rRNA from 1 species
UACGUAGGGUGCAAGCGUUGUCCGGAAUUAUUGGGCGAAAGAGCGUGUAGGCGGCCCGAUUAGUCCGCUGUGAAAGUCCAGGGCUCAACCCUGGAAUGCCGGUGGAUACUGUCGGGCUAGAGUCCGGAAGGGGCGAGUGGAAUUCCUGGUGUAGCGGUGAAAUGCGCAGAUAUCAGGAGGAACACCAAUGGCGAAGGCAGCUCGCUGGGACGUGACUGACGCU